rnacentral:rRNA from 1 species
AUUGAACGCUGGCGGCAUGCUUUACACAUGCAAGUCGAGCGGCAGCGCGGGGGCAACCCUGGCGGCGAGCGGCGAACGGGUGAGUAAUGCAUCGGAACGUAUCCUCGAGUGGUGGAUAACCCAGCGAAAGUUGGGCUAAUACCGCAUGAGCUCUGAGGAGGAAAGCGGGGGACCUGCGAGGGCCUAGCGCUGGAGGAGCGGCCGAGGUCCGAUUAGCUAGUUGGUGGGGUAAAGGCUUACCAAGGCGACGAUCGGUAGCUGGUCUGAGAGGAUGAUCAGCCACACUGGGACUGAGACACGGCCCAGACGCCUACGGGAGGCCGCAGUGGGGAAUUUUGGCCAAUGGGGGCAACCCUGAUCCAGCCAUGCCGCGUGAGUGAAGAAGGCCUUCGGGUUGUAAAGCUCUUUCGGACGGAACGAAAUGGGCGGGACUAAUACUCCUGUCUGAUGACGGUACAGUAAGAAGAAGCACCGGCUAACUACGUG